rnacentral:rRNA from 1 species
AGUGAACGCUGGCGGCGUGCUUAACACAUGCAAGUCGAACGAGAACGGAAUAUAGCUUGCUAUAUUUGUCAGCUAAGUGGCGCACGGGUGAGUAAUGUAUAGAUAACCUGCCCUUAAGAAAGGAAUAACAGUUGGAAACGACUGCUAAUGCCCUAUAUGCCUUUAAUACAUAAGUAUGCAAGGGAAACGCUUUAGUGCUUAAGGAUGGGUCUGUAUGGUAUCAGCUUGUUGGUGAGGUAAUGGCUCACCGAGGAUAUGCAGCCUAACUGGUUUGAGAGGAUGAUCAGUCACACUGGAACUGAGACACGGUCCAGACUCCUACGGGAGGCAGCAGUGGGGAAUAUUGCACAAUGGACGAAAGUCUGAUGCAGCAACGCCGCGUGGAGGAUGACACAUUUCGGUGCGUAAACUCCUUUUAUAUAGGAAGAUAAUGACGGUACUAUAUGAAUAAGCACCGGCUAACUCCGUGCCAGCCGCCGCAGUAAAAC